rnacentral:tRNA from 1 species
CAGAAGGUAGUUUAAUCAAAAUAUCAGCUUUGGGAGUUGAAGAUACAGGUAGUUCGUGUUCUUUUGA